CACAAACUCCAGAUGUCUGACUCCCUGAACCUGACCGUCCUAAUUAGCAGAGCCCUAAUCUUUCCUUGACCAUCUCCUGUUCAGAAGUAGAGAAGUUAUCCAUCAACAGUCCCUGCCUGGAAAGAGCUUGGCUUCUGCCCUCCACGUGGCAAGCAGAUUUCCUUUUAUCGAAGAGAAAACCUAGGUCAACCAGAAGAACACAAAUGGCUCAGACUAUUCCUCUACUGGACAGUGCUGCUCUGGGAUAUGAAGUACAACUACCUACCUUACUCAGUGUUUCUGGUGCCAGUCUGCUUGACCCAGGGCAAAUGAGUUGGUAUGCUAUUGCCAAAGUUGUUCAUGUCAGAAUCUGGACCCUGCCUGUCUUAACCAGCCAGAGUCCACCAGGAAGGCUGAGUGCUGCACAGAGCCCAGACAGAGCAGCCAUCAUUACUCCCUCCCUGCCACCUCCUGUCUUCUAUGCCUAGCUGUUUUCUAAGGAUCAGAAGAGGAUUUUCUCCCUUGUCUUUCUGGUUGGUUUCUGUAGUUUUGCAAUGAAGCCCUCAGUGAAGCACAGGCCCUUAACCCCCUGUGUCAGGCUCCACCAUGCCUGAGACAUGACGAGACCUAACUCUCAAAGACUCCUUGCUCCGGCCAAGUGUUAAGCUUUCAUGAGUAUUAAUUUUAAAAAUGCAGCAAUCGCUACCAGCAAUUACAAACAGCUUCAAGGACACAAGUUAUUAGCCAUUUUACCUAUGCCUGACCCUAGUUCAAGCGAUGUACUUCAUGAUGUCUAUUUGCUUCCAUUCUGGUUUCAAAUGAAAUGAAUAGGGGUGAAGCACACAACAAAAUUACAAAUAUCUCCUUUAGACAUGUUUCUUAACUCUUACCUCUCACUAGAUUAGAGAAACAACAAUGAAAUUAAAAACAGAACAGGGGUGAGAGGAAAGCGAUGAACAACCAAUAUUCUUUAGCUCUCCAAUUAUGCCAGGAGCCAUGCCAAAUGCUUUAGACUCUUUGACCCUAUCGAUCUCUGAGCCCCCAUGUAGCAGAUGAGAAACCUGAGGUGCACAGAAAUUCGUUUACUCAUCGUGGUUGUCUACCUGUAAAAUCACAACGCUAGAUGCUAACACUCGUCUCCAUAAAUACUACUCCAGGCUCCAAGCUUUGUUUGUUUCUAUGUUAAUGAUUCCUGCAUGCAAUUGUUGCUCCAACCUUAUCCCUGGGAGGUAUGAACACAUGGCGACUUAUGCCAGAUGAAACACUGGGGCAGACCAAAGGAAGAAUUCAACCCAAGUUUAACUUGGUAAUCUAAUGAGUUUAUAGCUAUACUUUCAGGGACAUGGGUAAAGGGUUAUACACUGAAUCAUUGAAACCCCUAAACGACUGUACCACAAGUCUCACCCCACCUUGGAUGAUGAUCUCAGAGUAGUAACAUCACAGACACCCUCAGUUAAACCUCUCCUUCCUUACUUAUUCUAGCAUUUCCAAAGAUCACUUGCAGCUGCGGUGGGAGGCAGAAGGAAGGAAUGGCUAGCAUCCCAAAUCAGGCUGCGAUGUCCUCCCUGACUUCUAAUAGGGAGUGUUAGCAGCUCUAUCAACAUGGCCAUAGCUAUCAUUGUAUUAUCCUGUUUAUUUGGUUGCCAUGGCUACUGAGCCAUGGUUCUCUUUAUUCCAAGAUGAGAUUUGAGUGUUCAUGCUAUGUCCAAAAGAAGAAGCCAUAGCACUAAUAGCUAAGGUUGCAAUUCAUUUCUGUCACUUUAUGUCUUGUAGUUUUAAUGAGAAAUGCUCCCCCCCCAGGGUCAUAUAAUCAAGCACUUGGUUCCUAGUUGGUGACAUUGGGGAGAGUAUGGAGCCAUUAGAAAGUGGCACCUUACUGGGAGGUGAGUAUUUUCCUCAGGGUGGACUUUGAUGGUUUAUAGUAUCACCCUGCUUCCUGUUACACACACACACACACACGCACACGCGCACACACACACACACGCACACGCACGUGCACU